UACGUAGGUGACAAGCGUUGUCCGGAUUUACUGGGCGUAAAGAGCGCGCAGGCGGUCGUUCAAGUCGAGUGUGAAAGCCCCCGGCUCAACUGGGGAGGGUCACUCGAUACUGAUCGACUUGAAGGCAGGAGAGGGAAGCGGAAUUCCCGGUGUAGUGGUGAAAUGCGUAGAUAUCGGGAGGGACACCAGUGGCGAAGGCGGCUUCCUGGCCUGUUCUUGACGCUGAGGCGCGAAAGCUAGGGGAGCAAACGGG
rnacentral:rRNA from 1 species